AACGAACGCUGGCGGCAUGCCUAACACACGCAAGUCGAACGAAGGCUUCGGCCUUAGUGGCGCACGGGUGCGUAACGCGUGGGAAUCUGCCCUUUGGUUCGGAAUAACAGCUGGAAACGGCUGCUAAUACCGGAUGAUGACGAAAGUCCAAAGAUUUAUCGCCAGAGGAUGAGCCCGCGUUGGAUUAGGUAGUUGGUGGGGUAAAGGCCUACCAAGCCGACGAUCCAUAGCUGGUCUGAGAGGAUGAUCAGCCACACUGGGACUGAGACACGGCCCAGACUCCUACGGGAGGCAGCAGUGGGGAAUAUUGGACAAUGGGCGCAAGCCUGAUCCAGCAAUGCCGCGUGAGUGAUGAAGGCCCUAGGGUUGUAAAGCUCUUUUACCCGGGAAGAUAAUGACUGUACCGGGAGAAUAAGCCCCGGCUAACUCCGUG
rnacentral:rRNA from 1 species